rnacentral:antisense_RNA from 1 species
AUAGAGCAACAACUCUAUACAGUGUUAGUGAGCCCCGAUUAUCUUCUGCUUAGUCGCCAAACCUAGGAAGAUUUUCGGGGUUUUUGCUU